UUGACCUCGGAUCAGGUAGGAAUACCCGCUGAACUUAAGCAUAUCAAUAAGCGGAGGAAAAGAAACCAACAGGGAUUGCCCCAGUAACGGCGAGUGAAGCGGCAACAGCUCAAAUUUGAAAUCUGGCCCCCAGGGCCCGAGUUGUAAUUUGCAGAGGAUGCUUUUGGCGCGGUGCCUUCCGAGUUCCCUGGAACGGGACGCCAUAGAGGGUGAGAGCCCCGUCUGGUCGGACGCCUAGCCUGUGUAAAGCUCCUUCGACGAGUCGAGUAGUUUGGGAAGGCUGCUCUAAAUGGGAGGUAUAUGUCUUCUAAAGCUAAAUACCGGCCAGAGACCGAUAGCGCACAAGUAGAGUGAUCGAAAGAUGAAAAGCACUUUGAAAAGAGGGUUAAAUAGUACAUGAAAUUGUUGAAAGGGAAGCGCUUGUGACCAGACUUGGGCCCGGUGGAUCAUCCAGCGUUCUCGCUGGUGCACUCCGCCGGGUUCAGGCCAGCAUCAGUUCGCC
rnacentral:rRNA from 1 species